rnacentral:rRNA from 1 species
GCGGCAGCACGGGUACUUGUACCUGGUGGCGAGCGGCGGACGGGUGAGUAAUGCCUAGGAAUCUGCCUGGUAGUGGGGGAUAACGCUCGGAAACGGACGCUAAUACCGCAUACGUCCUACGGGAGAAAGCAGGGGACCUUCGGGCCUUGCGCUAUCAGAUGAGCCUAGGUCGGAUUAGCUAGUUGGUGAGGUAAUGGCUCACCAAGGCGACGAUCCGUAACUGGUCUGAGAGGAUGAUCAGUCACACUGGAACUGAGACACGGUCCAGACUCCUACGGGAGGCAGCAGUGGGGAAUAUUGGACAAUGGGCGAAAGCCUGAUCCAGCCAUGCCGCGUGUGUGAAGAAGGUCUUCGGAUUGUAAAGCACUUUAAGUUGGGAGGAAGGGCAGUUACCUAAUACGUAUCUGUUUUGACGUUACCGACAGAAUAAGCACCGGCUAACUCUGUGCCAGCAGCCGCGGUAAUACAGAGGGUGCAAGCGUUAAUCGGAAUUACUGGGCGUAAAGCGCGCGUAGGUGGUUCGUUAAGUUGGAUGUGAAAGCCCCGGGCUCAACCUGGGAACUGCAUUCAAAACUGACGAGCUAGAGUAUGGUAGAGGGUGGUGGAAUUUCCUGUGUAGCGGUGAAAUGCGUAGAUAUAGGAAGGAACACCAGUGGCGAAGGCGACCACCUGGACUGAUACUGACACUGAGGUGCGAAAGCGUGAGAGCAAACAGGAUUAGAUACCCUGGUAGUCCACGCCGUAAACGAUGUCAACUAGCCGUUGGAGCCUUGAGCUCUUAGUGGCGCAGCUAACGCAUUAAAGUGACCGCC